UCCGCAGGCGGUCAAUUAAGUCAGAGGUGAAAUCCCAUAGCUUAACUAUGGAACUGCCUUUGAUACUGGUUGACUUGAGUCAUAUGGAAGUAGAUAGAAUGUGUAGUGUAGCGGUGAAAUGCAUAGAUAUUACACAGAAUACCGAUUGCGAAGGGAGUCUACUACGUAUGUACUGACGCUCAUGGACGAAAGCGUGGGGAGCGAACAGGAUUAGAUACCCUGGUAGUCCACGCCGUAAACGAUGGACACUAGUUGUUGGGCAUUAGCUCAGUGACUAAGCGAAAGUGAUAAGUGUCCCACCUGGGGAGUACGAUCGCAAGAUUGAAACUCAAAGGAAUUGACGGGGGCCCGCACAAGCGGUGGAGCAUGUGGUUUAAUUCGAUGAUACGCGAGGAACCUUACGAGGGCUUAAAUGUAGUAUGACAGGGUUAGAGAUAGACUUUUCUUCGGACAUAUUACAAGGUGCUGCAUGGUUGUCGUCCGCUCGUGCCGUGAGGUGUCAGGUUAAGUCCUAUAACGAGCGCAACCCUUGUCCUUAGUUGCCAGCAUGUAAAGGAUGGGGACUCUAACGAGACUGCCGGUGCAAACCGAGAGGAAGGUGGGGAUGACGUCAAAUCAUCACGGCCCUUACGUCCUGGGCCACACACGUGCUACAAUGGUAUGGACAAUGAGCAGCCAUGUGGCAACAGAGAGCAAAUCUAUAAACCAUAUCACAGUUCGGGG
rnacentral:rRNA from 1 species